GGAAGCUGAGGGGAGCACCGGAAUCAUUAGCCUUAGCCAAGGUUAAGUGGUAAUGCCUUCCAAUAGGUUCUCCAGAGCAUGUUUGCAGAUAUACAAGUAUAUACCACAAAUGGUAAAAAACAGAGGAGAACCUCAAGUAAAACAAAGAUACACUGAGCAUUCACGUGCCAUUUGGAGAGAUGCCAGUUUUAGAGAAGAACUGGCAAGGCUGUGACAGAGCCAGAAGCUUUAUCCACAAGGCUUAAUUCAGGGAUGCUGACAGUUGCUCUUUGAAGACCUCACCUUUUUGUCAUGGUUAUUAAUAAGCAAUGCCUUUAAUGCUCAGUAUAGCUACGCGUGUGCUCCAUGCAAAGGUCUGAACAACCAACCCAAGAUCAUGGCAGCAGAUGGAACUCAGACAAGACAAGUGACAUCGCGGCCCUUUGCUCUGGGACACUUCCUAUAUGACACGAGAGUGAUGCAACAGUCACACCCCUCAAGUCAUGCCUGUGUUAUGUUUUUUUAAAAUUAAUAUCAUACUACAGCUUUGUUGAAAAAGAGUAAGAAGGGCAUGAAUAUUUUGAACUUUAAUAAACUUGGUGAACAAGAA